rnacentral:rRNA from 1 species
AUUGAACGCUGGCGGAAUGCUUUACACAUGCAAGUCGAACGGUAGAGGGGGCAACCCCUCGAGAGUGGCGAACGGGUGAGUAAUAUAUCGGAACGUGCCCAGUCGUGGGGGAUAACGUAGCGAAAGUUACGCUAAUACCGCAUACGAUCUAAGGAUGAAAGCGGGGGAUCGCAAGACCUCGCGCGAUUGGAGCGGCCGAUAUCAGAUAGGUAGUUGGUGGGGUAAAGGCUCACCAAGCCAACGAUCUGUAGCUGGUCUGAGAGGACGACCAGCCACACUGGAACUGAGACACGGUCCAGACUCCUACGGGAGGCAGCAGUGGGGAAUUUUGGACAAUGGACGCAAGUCUGAUCCAGCCAUUCCGCGUGCAGGAUGAAGGCCCUCGGGUUGUAAACUGCUUUUGUACGGAACGAAAAGGCCUCUCUUAAUACGGGGGACUCAUGACGGUACCGUAAGAAUAAGCACCGGCUAACUACGUGCCAGCCGCCGCCGUAAGAC